CGGCAGGCUUAAUACAUGCAAGUCGAGGGCAGCAGGACUGUAGCAAUACAGUUGCUGGCGACCGGCAAACGGGUGCGGAACACGUACGCAAUCUACCCAAAACUGGUGAAUAGCCUUCCGAAAGGAAGAUUAAUACACCGUAACCUAAUUGUAUGGCAUCACUAUAUUAGUAUAGCUCCGGCGGUUUUGGAUGAGCGUGCGGCUGAUUAGAUAGUUGGUGUGGGUAACGGCCCACCAAGUCUGCGAUCAGUAACUGGUGUGAGAGCACGACCAGUCACACGGGCACUGAGACACGGGCCCGACUCCUACGGGAGGCAGCAGUAAGGAAUAUUGGUCAAUGGACGCAAGUCUGAACCAGCCAUGCCGCGUGAAGGAUGAAGGUCCUCUGGAUUGUAAACAUCUUUUAUAGGGGACGAAACACUCUUUUUCUAAAGAGACUGACGGUA
rnacentral:rRNA from 1 species